rnacentral:rRNA from 1 species
GGGUUGUGAGGUUAAGCGACUAAGCGUACACGGUGGAUGCCCUGGCAGUCAGAGGCGAUGAAGGACGUGCUAAUCUGCGAAAAGCGUCGGUAAGGUGAUAUGAACCGUUACAGCCGGCGAUGUCCGAAUGGGGAAACCCAGUGUGAUUCGUCACACUAUCGUUAACUGAAUACAUAGGUUAACGAGGCGAACCGGGGGAACUGAAACAUCUAAGUACCCCGAGGAAAAGAAAUCAACCGAGAUUCCCCCAGUAGCGGCGAGCGAACGGGGAGCAGCCCAGAGUCUGAAUCAGCUUGUGUGUUAGUGGAACGGUCUGGAAAGUCCGACGGUACAGGGUGAUAGUCCCGUACACCAAAAUGCACAGGCUGUGAACUCGAAGAGUAGGGCGGGACACGUGGUAUCCUGUCUGAAUAUGGGGGGACCAUCCUCCAAGGCUAAAUACUCCUGACUGACCGAUAGUGAACCAGUACCGUGAGGGAAAGGCGAAAAGAACCCCGGCGAGGGGAGUGAAAAAGAACCUGAAACCGUGUACGUACAAGCAGUGGGAGCACCUUCGGGUGUGACUGCGUACCUUUUGUAUAAUGGGUCAGCGACUUAUAUUCUGUAGCAAGGUUAACCGUAUAGGGGAGCCGCAGGGAAACCGAGUCUUAACUGGGCGUUAAGUUGCAGGGUAUAGACCCGAAACCCGGUGAUCUAGCCAUGGGCAGGUUGAAGGUUGGGUAACACUAACUGGAGGACCGAACCGACUAAUGUUGAAAAAUUAGCGGAUGACUUGUGGCUGGGGGUGAAAGGCCAAUCAAACCGGGAGAUAGCUGGUUCUCCCCGAAAGCUAUUUAGGUAGCGCCUCGUGAAUUCAUCUUCGGGGGUAGAGCACUGUUUCGGCUAGGGGGUCAUCCCGACUUACCAACCCGAUGCAAACUACGAAUACCGAAGAAUGUUAUCACGGGAGACACACGGCGGGUGCUAACGUCCGUCGUGAAGAGGAAACAACCCAGACCGCCAGCUAAGGUCCCAAAGUCAUGGUUAAGUGGGAAACGAUGUGGGAAGGCACAGACAGCCGGAUGUUGGCUUAGAAGCAGCCAUCAUUUAAAGAAAGCGUAAUAGCUCACUGGUCGAGUCGGCCUGCGCGGAAGAUGUAACGGGGCUAAACCAUGCACCGAAGCUGCGGCAGCGACACUAUGUGUUGUUGGGUAGGGAGCGUUCUGUAAGCCUGCGAAGGUGACCUGUGAGGGUUGCUGGAGGUAUCAGAAGUGCGAAUGCUGACAUAAGUAACGAUAAAGCGGGUGAAAAGCCCGCUCGCCGGAAGACCAAGGGUUCCUGUCCAACGUUAAUCGGGGCAGGGUGAGUCGACCCCUAAGGCGAGGCCGAAAGGCGUAGUCGAUGGGAAACAGGUUAAUAUUCCUGUACUUGGUGUUACUGCGAAGGGGGGACGGAGAAGGCUAUGUUAGCCGGGCGACGGUUGUCCCGGUUUAAGCAUGUAGGCUGAGGUUCCAGGCAAAUCCGGAUAAUCAAGGCUGAGGUGUGAUGACGAGGCACUACGGUGCUGAAGUAACAAAUGCCCUGCUUCCAGGAAAAGCCUCUAAGCAUCAGGUAACAUCAAAUCGUACCCCAAACCGACACAGGUGGUCAGGUAGAGAAUACCAAGGCGCUUGAGAGAACUCGGGUGAAGGAACUAGGCAAAAUGGUGCCGUAACUUCGGGAGAAGGCACGCUGGUGUGUAGGUGAAGUCCCUGCGGAUGGAGCUGAGACCAGUCGAAGAUACCAGCUGGCUGCAACUGUUUAUUAAAACACAGCACUGUGCAAACACGAAAGUGGACGUAUACGGUGAUGACGCCUGCCCGGUGCCGGAAGGUUAAUUGAUGGGGUUAUCCGUAAGGAGAAGCUCUUGAUCGAAGCCCCGGUAAACGGCGGCCGUAACUAUAACGGUCCUAAGGUAGCGAAAUUCCUUGUCGGGUAAGUUCCGACCUGCACGAAUGGCGUAAUGAUGGCGAGGCUGUCUCCACCCGAGACUCAGUGAAAUUGAACUCGCUGUGAAGAUGCAGUGUACCCGCGGCAAGACGGAAAGACCCCGUGAACCUUUACUAUAGCUUGACACUGAACAUUGAGCCUUGAUGUGUAGGAUAGGUGGGAGGCUUUGAAGCGUGGACGCCAGUCUGCGUGGAGCCAACCUUGAAAUACCACCCUUUAAUGUUUGAUGUUCUAACGUUGGCCCUUACCGGGGUUGCGGACAGUGUCUGGUGGGUAGUUUGACUGGGGCGGUCUCCUCCCAAAGCGUAACGGAGGAGCACGAAGGUUAGCUAAUCCUGGUCGGACAUCAGGAGGUUAGUGCAAUGGCAUAAGCUAGCUUGACUGCGAGCGUGACGGCGCGAGCAGGUGCGAAAGCAGGUCAUAGUGAUCCGGUGGUUCUGAAUGGAAGGGCCAUCGCUCAACGGAUAAAAGGUACUCCGGGGAUAACAGGCUGAUACCGCCCAAGAGUUCAUAUCGACGGCGGUGUUUGGCACCUCGAUGUCGGCUCAUCACAUCCUGGGGCUGAAGUAGGUCCCAAGGGUAUGGCUGUUCGCCAUUUAAAGUGGUACGCGAGCUGGGUUUAGAACGUCGUGAGACAGUUCGGUCCCUAUCUGCCGUGGGCGCUGGAGAAUUGAGGGGGGCUGCUCCUAGUACGAGAGGACCGGAGUGGACGCAUCACUGGUGUUCGGGUUGUCAUGCCAAUGGCACUGCCCGGUAGCUAAAUGCGGAAGAGAUAAGUGCUGAAAGCAUCUAAGCACGAAACUUGCCCCGAGAUGAGUUCUCCCUGAGACUUUAAGUCUCCUGAAGGAACGUUAAAGACGAUGACGUUGAUAGGCCGGGUGUGUAAGCGCAGCGAUGCGUUGAGCUAACCGGUACUAAUGAACCGUGAGGCUUAACCUUACAACGCCGAAG